CAGUAGCCGCGGGAAUACGAAGGGGGCAAGCGUUGCUCGGAAUGACUGGGCGUAAAGGGCGCGUAGGCGGUGUGGACAGUCAGAUGUGAAAUUCCUGGGCUCAACCUGGGGGCUGCAUUUGAUACGUCCAAACUAGAGUGUGGAAGAGGGUCGUGGAAUUCCCAGUGUAGAGGUGAAAUUCGUAGAUAUUGGGAAGAACACCGGUGGCGAAGGCGGCGACCUGGUCCAUUACUGACGCUGAGGCGCGAAAGCGUGGGGAGCAAACAGGAUUAGAUACCCCAGUAGUCCCUGUCUCUUAUAC
rnacentral:rRNA from 1 species